rnacentral:lncRNA from 1 species
CACUUGCUGACCUGGCUUCUAGACUGCUCAUCAGAUCCUCUGCUUGCUAUUUCUUCCCCCAUGUGCAGGACAGAUGCAGAAGAUUCAGGGAAGGAUACAAAGAUCUUCUAGAUAUAAAGAGCCUGCUAGAGUGACUUUAAAGAGCUGCUGGAGGAAGUUACCACCGCUGGGCUGCAAAUCCACUCACUAACAGCCACCUGGACUACAGUUGAGUUAGGAAUUUGGGAAGGAUUUGGCUUGUUUGUUCACAUCUGAUCAACAUGGGGCGAGAUGGAGCAGCUUAGGCUGCAGGAUGCCCUCCACGGUGUCUGCUUCACUCGUGUGUCUGGAGACGUGAUGUCCUCUCUCAUGGCAGCCCUCCUUCAGGGUCUCUUCAUGUGCUUGGCUUUCUCAAAGCAUGCGUCCCUGGGGCUGAGCAAAAGUCAACACUACAAUGUCUCUCAAAGACCGGGCAAGUGAUUCAUUGAACCCAUAAACGUACUUUCUAUGUGCCACGUGUGAAACUGUGAACGAGAAGGAUCAAC